AUCUUUCUAGUACUAAUGUCAGUAUGAGUGACUUCCAAUCACCCGGCCCCAGUUCGACUCUGGGGAAAGAUA
rnacentral:tRNA from 2 species